AUCAAAUGGCAAAAUCAAAUGAUAAAACACAUCAAACGAAUGGACAACAACUGUCCUAUUCCUGACUUGGUACAGGCAUUUUCAAAUUUAGAAAAUGGUGAAUUGAACCUGGUUUUAUAGCGCUAAAACUCUCACUUGAACGACAGCCGCAUCAAUCUCCAUUUUAUUGACCAUGAUGCGCGAACAACACGGACCCCACUAAAAAGUAAGGGUGAUUUCAGAAGAUUUUCGCGGCAGGGGACGCAGAUCCGUCUACACAUGUGGCAUUCGUUCUGUAGCCC
rnacentral:lncRNA from 1 species